rnacentral:rRNA from 1 species
UACGUAGGGGGCAAGCGUUGUCCGGAAUCAUUGGGCGUAAAGAGCGUGUAGGCGGCCCGAUAAGUCCGCUGUGAAAGUCCAGGGCUCAACCCUGGAAUGCCGGUGGAUACUGUCGGGCUCGAAUCCGGAAGAGGUGAGUGGAAUUCCUGGUGUAGCGGUGAAAUGCGCAGAUAUCAGGAGGAACACCAAUGGCGAAGGCAGCUCACUGGGACGGUAUUGACGCUGAGACGCGAAAGCGUGGGGGAGCAAAACAGG